UAGGGAAUCUUCCACAAUGGACGCAAGUCUGAUGGAGCAACGCCGCGUGAGUGAAGAAGGUUUUCGGAUCGUAAAGCUCUGUUGUUGGUGAAGAAGGAUAGAGGCAGUAACUGGUCUUUAUUUGACGGUAAUCAACCAGAAAGUCACGGCUAACUACGUGCCAGCAGCCGCGGUAAUACGUAGGUGGCAAGCGUUGUCCGGAUUUAUUGGGCGUAAAGCGAGCGCAGGCGGAAUGAUAAGUCUGAUGUGAAAGCCCACGGCUCAACCGUGGAACUGCAUCGGCAACUGUCAGUCUUGAGUGCAGAAGAGGAGAGUGGAAUUCCAUGUGUAGCGGUGGAAUGCGUAGAUAUAUGGAAGAACACCAGUGGCGAAGGCGGCUCUCUGGUCUGCAACUGACGCUGAGGCUCGAAAGCAUGGGUAGCGAACAGG
rnacentral:rRNA from 1 species